rnacentral:rRNA from 1 species
UCGAUGAAGAAAGUAGCGAAAUGCGAUACUUGGUGUGAAUUGCAGAAUCCCGUGAACCAUCGAGUCUUUGAACGCAAGUUGCGCCCGAAGCCAUUAGGCGGAGGGCACGUCUGCCUGGGCGUCACGC